AAAAAGGACCACCGGUGUCGAUCGGUGGCGGUCGACGCGACUCCACGACCGUCUCUCCUCUCUGUUUGUCCGCGUACGCUCUGCAGGCCAGUGCGCGUUCAGUAACGGGUUGCCUUCGAAACCGUGUCGCGUGUGUCACGUGCGAUCACGUGCGUGGCGAAACCGAAGUCGACGGGGAACCGCGGAACCGGGUCGGCUGCUAGUCUCUCUCUGGCUCGAGCGUCGCGAGAAGACACCGCGUCGCGGUCGUUCGGUAUCGGUUUGGCCUCGGUUCGAUCGUUCGAUCUCCCGUCGUAUUGCUGCACGUGCGAACCGCGGGAAUCGUAGCGAACGUUCGCGGUACCGUUCUCUGUUUAUCUCGGUCUCGAGGACGCUCGCGAACGCGCCGAGAGAAAGGAAAAUAGUAAGCGAAUCGCGGAAAGGACGAAAGUGAGCACGAAAGAACGGCAGCGGUACACGCAGGAUAGAUAUAAAUGAAAACAGAGAGCAGAGGGUAGAAGGGAGAGAAAGCUAGUGUUUUCGAUGGAUGGAAGAAGAGAGUGUGUUCGGUCGAUCGGUGUGUGAGUGUGCCACGGUGCGUGGCCGAAGUAGCACUGAAGUAACAACGCGGCGUUCCACUGAGUUUAUUCGUGUUAGCCGUAGCGAGGAAUUGGUCCAAAGUGCGCUCUCUCCGCGACCGUAUCAAUGACGGGGCCGCGACCUUUUGGCCACCCUGCGGUUGCUCCUCGUGCGCCGCCCCGCCAUCUCCGCCGUCGCGACGUCGUCGUAAACACACGGCCGUCCUUUUUCUCUCGUCGCGUCUCCCGUUUCGACGCAACGUGUCGUCGCGUGUCGUGACAGACGAUCAGGGUUAUCUUUGCUCCGUUAUCGCUGUAAUUCCCGGAUAACGCCGCUAAUGGGACAACCGCGUACGACAACACCGGACAGCUGUACACGUCGUGCAAGCGUUCGACUGUCAACAGGUUGCGGGACAGAUGAACCGAAACAGCCCGCGACAUAGUUUAUGGUCCAACAUUUCGUUUGAGAAGUUCGAGAAAGUCGAGGCCAUUAACUUUAGUGCAGUCUGUAUCACUGACUCUUUCAUCCUUCGUGGAUGAUUUCGCCGUGAUGCAUCGGUGGGGGUCAACCGACUCGCGUCCCGCCACGCUCGACACGACGACGAGCAGUCUGGACCCGUGACCGUUCUCUUUCAUUCUUUCACGAUUUUGUCUGCGUGUUCGAACGAGGGAAAGAACGCCUAAUCGAGUAUACACGUCCAAUUGAAACGAAAGAGCAAAGAUAAAAAGGAGUACCAAGUAUCGAAUCCUCUUUCGAAUAUGUACUAUUUUUACAGUGGGUGUAGAAAGUAUUCGUACAACUGUUCGAUUUUUAAAUACUUGAUUAAAAAAAGAAGAAAUUUACAUUAAUUUACAAGUAUAUAAUAUAUACUUAACUAGUACAUAAACGAACUAAAUUAUUAGUUAUUUCGAAGUGGGAUCUUCUUUGAUUCCUCUAUUAGAGCCAUUUUUAAAAGUACUUUACUGGAAAUUUCAUGUUUUCUAACUCGUACGGAGCAAUAAACUAAUCUGUUUACGUCACAAGCUCUACUGUAAACGGUUCGUCAUAAGAAUCGUACAAAUACUUAUUGCUUCUAUACUUUUACUCGCUUUUCGCAUUUUUUUGUUAAUUUCGCAAAUUAUAUCAACUAGUAAAUGUUGUUUGCAAAAUCAAGAAAGUACACGUUGUUUGGACUAUAUCUAUCUUAGAGACUUUCGAGAAUAUGUAAAAUAUCAUUGAUUAUAAAAAAAGAAGUUAAGAAACUACAAUUUCACGCAAAAGUCUUUCGGGAAAUUGAUCGGUGUACGAAAUACAUUCCACGCCCACUGUAUGUAAUUUCGAAUAUUUUUAUCUAAUUUCACCGUACAAUAAUAUCGGUAAACUAAAAUGUACAAGCUAAAUCAAAAUUCGCACGCUUUCUUUAGCGAUAGAAAUGCAAAAGAAUGAACCGCAAGUGGCCUAGGACUUCUCCGCGGUACUGUAUAUUGCAUUCAAUGACAGUGAACGUGUCAAUCGCGAGUUUUUCGAUCGCCGAUCGGUUUGGUUAUCUUCCUUGAAUUUUUCUAUCUAGUUCUCACGAAACACUAAUCUCUUCCUACUCGGUCUGUGCUUUGUCGUAUUCGUCUCCGACUGAUCAAAGUCGAAGCGGAUAACGAUUAACGGGCGCGAUUAUAUAACGUACGUCCUGUAUAUUAAUUAAAUACAUGCGACGAGAAGCGCGGAAUGAAGUUGAGGAGCUUUGACAUUCUGGCCUUGAAUAUACCGCGGACAUUCCACGUGCAAAGAUCAUUGGCGCCACGAGUACGCCAGUUCAAUAGCGCAAACAUCAGUGACGCCAGUGUGUUUCCAUAAUUUUAAAUUGUAGUUUUUGAUUUACUCGGAAUUCGACACGGUGUCGACUGCUUAUUAUAUAGCAUGCAUGUAUUUGUGUCACGGUGCAUAUUUAUCUUCGGAGAUUUAAGAAAUAUCGAAAAGCAAGAAACGAAAGCAAUGGUGUAUUCGGUAGAGACAACAGUUGCGCAACUGUCGAGCGAUUCUCUUAGAGAAGCGAUCAGACGAAUCAAAGCAGAGAAUUUAGUUUAUGACUAAUUUUCAUGUGAUCCUAAAGCACCGACAGAAAAGAAAAUAAUCUCUUGUGUCGCAGAAACGAAAUGGAACGUACGCCACUGAAGAGUUAGUAUCGAUUCGAACGUGCACGGAAACUUGAAACUCCAGGAAACGUAUGGGACACACGCGCAUGGGAACAUCGCCAUGGCACAUACUUUAUGCAAAUGUUGAUUAGUUUGGUAUUUCGUUGCUACCAAUUUUCAAUAUUAAUUACCGUGUAAUUUCUAAAUUACAAAGUAUUCUAUAAAAUGCCAUCGUUCGACAUCUACAUUCACGCUUUCGAAUAUCAUCCACAAUUUUUGUGAGACAGUUGGGCCUUUCGUAAAUAUAUCCGACGAGACAGAGAGAAAAGACGACUGGAAUACCGAUUUGUCUGAUUUUACUAAAAUCGAAAUUGUAACUUUGUCUCUUGUAUAACAGACAAAAACGGAAUUUUCAUUAUAAUAAAUUAAUUUCUUUAAAUUAUAUUAAAAUUAUACCUCACAUAUAAUUCCAUCUAAUUCGACCAUCUUUUUAACUGCAUCUCUUCUAAUUAUUUUAUUGAAAUUUCUUUAAAUCGAAACAAACUAAUUCCUCGUUAUAAUUAAAAGUCUUUCAUCCUUUGUUCGUUAUUCGCUAUUGUAAUCGAUAUAAAAAUUUUGCUCAUUUCCAAGAAAACUUUUAACGUUAUCGCUAUUAAACGCAUGGAAGAAGUUUCGAACGAAAUCGGCGCCGACGAAACACAUGACGAAUGACUAAUAUCUAGAUUCCCUGUCUCGGAAGAAAAAUAUUUACUUUUUCGUCGACUUAACUUAUUUUAUCACCGGUCAUUGCGAUAAUCGUAAUCACGUCGAAAUUCUUGAAACAUCGCGAUUUAUCAGUCACCGGCUCCACUUAUUUAACCGAAUAAUUUGUCUUUAAUAGUUGCUUCGUUGUACCUUCGCCAGACGGAAGACAAUAUAAAAUAGUUGACGCUAGUCUCCCUCGAACUACUUAGUUAUCAAGUAACAUCGAUUAAAAAUUUCAUUUUUUGCAAAACGUAUCGAAUGCGUUAAUUGCACUUUAAAAACAUUAGCGUCAGUAACAUUUGACGAAGCAUUUAUAAAAUGGGUAAUUGAGUACUUUUAAUAUUUGUGGAUAAUAAUUGAGUUUUCCGAGUACAGAAACUUAAUCUUGAUUGAUUGAUUUUACCGGCUUCGAGGGUAGGGUGUCUGUUUUUUUUUUUUUUUUUUACUGUAACAAAGGUGGCCAAGGUGACAAGCAUCCGAAGCAUCUGAAGCACAGAGAUGCAUUUAGAAUUCAAACAUUAUAUUCAACAAAAUAAUUGUUGUCACAUUUCCUAUCAAACAAUACAGAAAACAAAUUCGAAGAUACGAUUGUUGAGUAGCGAAAGCGAAACAAAACUUUGAAUGUUUAUCAACAUCGCUGUAUGCAAGAGAAAAAAAAGAUGCCUCACAGAUUUCUUUUAUUUUCGAUAUUCUUCUCGAAACGUUAACGACUAUGUGUAAUUGCUUCCAACGAUUGAGGCGAACGACGUUCAAAUUGCCUAAUUAGGCAACACUUCUUGCUCGUAAAAAUGUAAACGAAAACAAUUUAGUCGGGCUGUAAAGAGACGGAAUCGGGAAUUCUUGGCUGGAAUAUUGCCUUCGCGCUUCGAGGGAGGGAACGGGGAGAAGGAAACGUUAUCGUCACGUUAUCAUCACGUGCUAGUGUUAGCUAAUAACAAGCUAGAGGAUAACGAAGAAAAUUGGCACGCGUCGCGCACGCGGCCACGGUCUUACUCGAUCGAGAAAAAAAUAAAAAUAAAUUCUUCCACAGUUUAGACGUGCAAUAAAUUCUUAUGUAGAUAAAAGCCCCGAAAACAAACAAAAAGAGGAUAAAUUAUGAAUCGAUUCAAGUAAUUUUAAUUUGCCCAAUAUUAUAAUCACCGAUUCGAGCAAUCGUAUUUUAUCGUAUCGUGCGAUGAACAAAUAACGAAGUUUCGAAAAUGAAAGUAAAUGAAAAACGUUGUUAUCAACAGGUUUUAAUAGGUGGAUACGUGUAUAGGAAAGGAUGUAGGAAAACAGACAAUGUUUAAGAAAAGAAAUUUGUUCAAUAAAUACGCAACGAGUUAUGUAUUUGAGGAUAGAGUCUGGAAAGACUUUGUUAACAAAAAUAUAUAAACCGUCACAAAAUUAAACAAACGGUAAACAAUAUUUCUUACACGAUGCAACUUUUGUAUAAGGAAAUUUCAGAUGCCUCACCUUGUAUAUUGAAGUGUAAAAUGUAUACUGCACGUGAUAUGUAUACAUUUUCAGUGUUUAUCGUUUCUUUUUAUUGAAUUCUCCCCUUAAUGAGGAGGAAAUCGUAGCGAAGUCAAGUUACAAACAAUAGAAGUGAUCGUCGUGUCCAGACCGUGUGGAAGUGAUAAGGCUCGGUGAUGGCCGGAGAUUAAUGGACGCAUCAGCGUCUAAAAUUAAUCUAUUUAGAAUAUAGACCAAGAUAGAUCCAGAUUUUCCUCAUAUUUUCGCGCAUGACAACAUUACGCAACACAACUUCAACGCUUCCUAUUCUUCGGUUACAUGACGCACUCAUGUCCCCAACUGUCUACCGCUUGUUCAGACUUCUUAUCAAUUUAUCACGAAUGUUACAUCGCGAGCGAAAUCAUGCAGUUACGGCCAGUCGAGGCUAUUAUUAUCCAUUAAACGUAAUAAUCGAUGUGUCUACACAUUACGAAAUAAAUAUUUCAUCCAUCCCAAAGGAACAAAUGGCAACUCCAAGGCUUCCACUAUUCUUACAAUACUACGUAUGCCGUCAUAUAAAAUACAAGUAGCAAUAUCAGCAAAAAAUUCAAGUAUGAUUACUAGACGAGGAUUUUCGAGCGAACGUCCAUAGAAUUAAAAUUUUCAUUUGAGUUUUGCGCGAAACCUUUCAAACUACGAUUUAAUAAAUCAUCGAGGCUUAAUUCUUCGUAAAGAGGUAGAGAAUCAUCGCGCACUUUUGAAUCCAUUGCUUGUGUUGAUAACUGUUCAAACGCCUGCUGCCACGUACACCACGAAUCUUCGCCGACUGGACAAUUUUCGAGCAGUUGAUUCUCUUCCGUGGAAAUUGUAUGAAAUAUGGUAGCAAAAAAACAUUUCAAUAAUUGAAUCGACCUCCAUUUUUCCGGCUGAGCCUGCAAUGAUUCGAACUGCAUACGUAUUCGUGAUUUGCCGCCAAUUCUGCAUAGUCAGCUGUUCCUUCUUUCAAAUACCGGAAUUCACGUGACUCUACUGGGUGUACCGAAAAUGUUGGAGGUCCUUGGAAGAGGUGGUUCGGGAGGUGAUUUGAAACAACUUUUUCCUUAGCGAAAAUGUUGUAGGAGACUUCGUUGAGGAGAUAUUAACAAAUAAAGCCCGACCAAUCAGAGCGCGCGUAUACCGUUGGAGCGGCCGUGGUAGCGAAGACUACGCGCUAAGCGACCGCGCUCAUACGCUACCGCGAGCGCUCCACCAGUAUACUCGCGCUCUGAUUGGUCAGUGUUUUCCCUUAAUAUCUCCUCAACGAAGCCUCGGACAACAUUUUCGCUAAGGAAAAAGUUGUUUCAAAUCGCCUCCCGAACCACCCCUUUCAAGGUGUUACAACAUUUUUGGGACACCCUGUAUAUUCCCUUUUCACAACGAUAUCGAUUAUUUUUCCGGAGUACCAACCUAUGAGAGCCAUAACGCCAAAAAGUUAUGGGAAUCCUUUUUUGCACCAUGCGCGAAAUGUUAGCGCGCUGAUACGCGCCUUCAUUUCUACAGAUCGAAACUGCCCUUACACUUUCUACAUCGAUUUCUAACUAAUAUCGAUUCCUUAUAUAUAGAGAGAAUAUUUUAAACAAAACAAAAAACGUUUUUUGAAGCGUCGAAAGUGGCGUAACACCUUAAUUCGGUAAUAUUCGUAACAAACACUUUCGGAUUAUGUCUCGCCGCUUCGUGAAGAUUCGGGAAAGUUCGGUGUAACUCGGCUGCCAUGACAUGUGCGUCUCAAAGAAGCACGAAACCGGUGUGGGUACGUUUAAUUCGCGAAAUUAUAAAACACGUUGAAGAUAUCGUCGCCUAAAAGAGUUCAAAUUACGUGCGAUGGAUUAAAACUCGAAGUGAUUGUAUCCGGUAUUAAAUAACGAUACAAAACUUAAUAUUAUUCCCUAUUGCUGAUUAAAUGUAGCAUUUCUGUAGAAUCGAAGAUUCUUAAAUUUCAUUCGGAGCACAUGCCUUACGCGAUUGAUCUUUUAAUAGACAAUAAAAAUAUAAUAAAGCGUUUAUCUAAAUUUGCGUUGCACUUUUAAAAUCGUUUACAACGUAGAAAUAAGCACUUACAUCGUUGAGGUUUAAGAACUCGUAUCCGUAGAGCACGAUAUUUUAAAUAAAAAAAUUGUUAAUCACAAAGAGCACGAGAAGGGUACUUUUCUCUCCGUGACACACAUUUAACCGGUUAAAUUUAAAUCUCAAUUAUUUACGUACACGGUGUACAAAAGACUGGAGUCGAUGAGUAUAAAUAAUAGAUA